rnacentral:lncRNA from 1 species
CUGCAGUAGAAGACUGAAAAGUAUUCCUCUCGUUAUACAGGUGGGCGCCUGAACGCAAAAAUAUGAAAUGUAUGCCCACAUUAUACUGGUGGGCGACCUAGAACAGAAAUAAAAAUACAGAAAUGUAUUCCCGCAUUAUACUGGUGGACGACCUAGAACAGAAAUGUAUUCCCGCAUUAUACUGGUGGGCGACCUAGACCAGAAAUGAAAAGACAUAAAUGUAUUCCCGCAUUAUACUGGUGGGCGACCUAGACCAGAAAUGAAAAGACAUAAAUGUAUUCCCGCAUUAUACUGGUGGGCGACCUAGAACAUGAAAUGUAUUCCCGCAUUAUACUGAUGGGCGACCUAGAACAGAAAUGAAAAGACAGAAAUGUAUUCCCGCAUUAUACUGGUGGGCGACCUAGAACAGAAAUGUAUUCCCGCAUUAUACUGGUGGGCGACCUAGAACAUGAAAUGUAUUCCCGCAUUAUACUGGUGGGCGACCUAGAACAGAAAUGAAAAGA